AUUGUUUCUACAUGACACCUGCACGAUGUAAUCAAUUAAUUGCUACAGUUUCUGAACAAGACCUCGUCUGUUUCAUUUUCCUUAAAUUGAACACAAGGUGGGAAACGUUCCGCACCCUUUUUCGCACCAGUGGCUGCAGACCACGGGAGCAACAACCAGCAGCAGCUCCGUCGUAACUGCACCGAGAAAAGCCACUGAUUUCAUAUGGAAGAACUUUCGGUGAACGGCUCGCGUCGACCGGCGUCGUCCAAUGAAGACGUGCAGAGUGGAAACGAAGCGCUUUGAUUGGCUGCCACGACUCGGUCGCUUUCCGUCCGAGGGAGUUGCCUCAAAACUUUUUUUCGAGAGAGAGGGAGAGAGAGAAAGAGAGAGGUAGAGAGAGAGAGAGAGAGAGAGAGAGAGAGAGAGUGCAUCCCUUGCGCUCGCCGACUCAGAAGAGGGCAGCGCACAAGCGCAGAGACGGAGUCAGAGGGCUGGGAGAACGAACGCAGGAGGGGUGUCCCAUCCACGAAGUGUCCCUGGAGGAACUCAGCCUGCAAACUUAUUUAAGUUAUGGCUGCAUGAAAUAAGCCUUUUUUUUUUGGUUACUUUUUUUUUCUCUCUUCUGGGAUCUUGGGCACGAGCUGUGCCUGAUCACACGUUGCGAUACAUUAUUAUACAGACAAAGCAGUACUUUUUAACGCUUGCCGUGGACGGCACUCGGUGGCCAUGGAUACCGAUAUAAGAUGGAAAAUAAAACGGUGGAUAACGUCUCUGCACAUCACUUUAUCAGUAGUUCUUCUGUGUGUCACUUCGAAUGUCAGCUCAGUCUUCCCUGCAGGUUUUGGGGUCCUCAGCCAGAAGAAUCUGAAGGUUACGAAAAUACCGAAGCAAUGCAUAGGAGCCGCCGGCCGUAAUGGGCAUCAGAUGUUCCAAUUAGAGUUGGCAGAAUCCUCCACAUAGAAUGAGGAGCGAGGAGAGGUGGAGACUCAAAGCAAGUUGCGGACGCUGAAGUUACGCCCCGAUGCCAGGUGUCUUCUCGGUGAUCUUGGCUUUUAGGCACUCUGGUAAUCUAAAUCAUGGUUCUGCACUGCCAAGGUGUCAGGAUGCCGCAGAUGGGCCAGAUAUUACUCAAGAACCUUUGGAGUAUUUAACCUUCAGACAGCACAUGUGUGUGCCAGCUAUUUAAAGCAGCUGCAGAUGUUUUAAUGCUAAGGCUUUGUGUGCCCUGGUGCUCAUUUGGGGAGGAGGGUGGAAGGGAAAGGAGGAGAAUAAAAGAAAAAAAAAACAACCUGAGAGAAAGUGC
rnacentral:lncRNA from 1 species